AGCGAACGCUGGCGGCAGGCUUAACACAUGCAAGUCGAGCGCCCCGCAAGGGGAGCGGCAGACGGGUGAGUAACACGUGGGAACGUGCCUUUUGGUUCGGAACAACCCAGGGAAACUUGGGCUAAUACCGGAUAAGCCCUUACGGGGAAAGAUUUAUCGCCUAAAGAUCGGCCCGCGUCUGAUUAGCUAGUUGGUGGGGUAAUGGCCCACCAAGGCUACGAUCAGUAGCUGGUCUGAGAGGAUGAUCAGCCACAUUGGGACUGAGACACGGCCCAAACUCCUACGGGAGGCAGCAGUGGGGGAUAUUGGACAAUGGGGGCAACCCUGAUCCAGCCAUGCCGCGUGAGUGAUGAAGGCCUUAGGGUUGUAAAGCUCUUUUAGCAGGGAAGAUAAUGACGGUACCUGCAGAAAAAGCCCCGGCUAACUUCGUGCCAGCAGCCGCAGUAA
rnacentral:rRNA from 1 species